UUACCUGAGAAAUAAUUGAUGAAAUCUC
rnacentral:piRNA from 1 species